AUUGUCAGCCAACAUAACAUGUAAGGUAACUUAUUUGUAAAGUCAUUACUUUAUUACAUUGAGUAGCAAGCUACCACGAGGACGCGCUCUUUCGACUCUGCGGCUUGAGCAUGCUUUUGGUGCACUGUCAAUAGCACGCCGGACUUCAGGCAAGAAGGUUGAGGGUUUGAAAACUGCUCGCUUCAUUUGAAGUCGUGCACAAUUAUCAGUUUAUUAUUUGGUUUAUAUUGCCCAUUCACUGUCAGUUAGAGACAGUAGUGUAUUGGGACCCAAAAUCAUAAAUCAGUGCUCUAACUCCCCUUUGGUCGUUAAGGCAAAUCUGGUCUGUGAUAGGACAGGGUUUUUUCCACACCUAGCUCAGCUAUUAGGCUAUUCUUUAGUAAAGGUUGAAUAGUCUAUUGUUCAGCUAUUAGCCUCCUUCCCCAACUUGCAACAAAUGGAUGUCUUUUUGUUGAGCAAAACUUUAUUUUCAAUCAAAAAUAAUUGUUCUGAAAGCAAAAAUGAGUCUUCAAAGUAAAACAAAUGUUUUGCAAUCAAAUAUUUUGUAAUAGAGUGCAAAACUUUAUGCAUUUUAUUCCCCAAUUUAUUUGAAAACAAAACUCAAAUUUAAUUUUGCUAUCAACCACCCUCCAUUUUGGCCAUUUUUUGAGUGUCAGUUUGGCUACAACCAAUACUGUUCAGCCUUUCUUCCUGACAAAAAGGAAGUCAUAGCGGACACCUACGAAGAAGGACUGUGCGAUGAGGUAAGCAGCACUCAGGUAAGCAGCACUGGGCAUUCUUCCGUCCAACUUUUACAUAGGUCCUACGAUUCAAUGUCGGUUCAUAACAUUGUACUAUAUUACAUACAUACAUACAUACCGUAGAAUGAUAAAUCAUGCAAUUAUUAUUCUCAAGCUAACCAAAAGCAUUUAGCUACGAACGCCUGUUCUCACCAUUUUCAGUUGAAUUAAUCUAACUUUCUUUCAUGGCAACUCAUAAGCAGGCCAUGUCCUAUUUGUUUCAUAGUCGAUACAUAAUCAUAUUUCAUGACAGUGUAACGGUUAGCUUUGUUUACAGAAGGAUGAAAGAACACAAUAUGUCUGUCAGGGAAUGCUAUUCUGAUAUGUCAGAUGAGUUAUACAAGAAAGUCAGCGCCAUUAAGGCAAGGAUGCCCCAUGCGGGCUUUAGAAUGGUCAAAGGAAGUCUCAGAGCAAUGGGCCAUUGUGUACAAUGGCGAAGAGUCUUUGCAGCGUGUAGAUGGUGCAGGUAUCAUUGCCAGAAUGAUCCAGCUUCGUUACAUUGCUCGGCAAAAAUACUCUGUUCCUGCACCCGUCUCUCGUCCACAUUGAUACAAAUCAUAAAUUGAUAAGGUACUAAGAUGUAUAAUGUCUCCAUCAAAUCUAAAAAGUUAACUUUUUUUAUUCCUAGAAUUUUCAAUGAUGUAUGAAACUGGAGUUGUUAUUCAACUGGUAAUACAUAAAUAAUGAAGCAGGUUAAUAGGUUAAACAUUUCACUUUUAAUUCCAAUGCUUUUUUAAGAUACAACUGGUAAGUAUAUUAUUUUGUAUACAUAUUGCAUAUUUCCCCAUCACCUAAUGAACAACCACAAUACCAGUCUGGUGUUAAGCUUUCUCUGCUGUAUUGACGUAUCCUGAAAAUGACAUCUGCUGCUUUAGAUUGAACGGUCAUAUCUACAAAAAAAUAAGCUAUUUUCUUUACUUUCAGAGUGCGAGAUGAUCAAGGGGUCAAAUGUAGAUAUUGCCAGAUGUUCACUGUCUGAGGAACAGGCCGUGGAAGCAUUAUUGCUGGGAAAAGUGUCCAUAAGAGGUGUUCCUACCUCGUCUGCGGGCAGAUCUGCAGCAUUUCGCAGAGUUAGAAUAAUCACCCUUUAAGUACAGAGGCAAACCUGACACCUCACCAGCUGUGGCAUAUCGGAAUGCUCCAAACACCUGUGCACAUUGUUUUUGCCUUAGCACUACACAGCUGAUUCAAAUGAUCAAGUCAUCAUCAAGCUUCAAGUGGUUAUAUCAGCUGUGUCGGUGAACCCCUCCCACACCUGAACUGGCUGACUGACACAGAGGGCACAGCAUGAUCAUUGGUGAGAGGUCAAGUCAACAGGAAGAUUAUUAAAAGAGGUAUGUUUUGAUGUGAGAGAGGAAGCCAGUCCCAUCAGCCACCUCACCCGCU